UAUCGCGACGUAGUUGAUCCGUGGCUACAGGACGACGCUGGCGGCGUGCCUAACACAUGCAAGUCGAACGGGGGUUACCCUUCGGGGGUAACUUAGUGGCGAACGGGUGAGUAACGCGUGAGGAACCUGCCUUUCAGUGGGGGACAACAGUUGGAAACGACUGCUAAUACCGCAUAAUGUUGUCGGAUGGCAUCAUCUGGCAACCAAAGCUUUAUGUGCUGAAAGAUGGCCUCGCGUCUGAUUAGAUGGUUGGUGAGGUAACGGCUCACCAAGUCGACGAUCAGUAGCCGGACUGAGAGGUUGAACGGCCACAUUGGGACUGAGAUACGGCCCAGACUCCUACGGGAGGCAGCAGUGGGGAAUAUUGGGCAAUGGGGGAAACCCUGACCCAGCAACGCCGCGUGAAGGAAGAAGGCCUUCGGGUUGUAAACUUCUUUUAGCAGGGACGAAGGACGUGACGGUACCUGCAGAAAAAGCAACGGCUAACUACGUG
rnacentral:rRNA from 1 species